rnacentral:ncRNA from 1 species
UUAAAAUUUGAUUCUAGUUUUAUUAGAUUAUUUUAAGGAUGGAUCUUAAUAUGUGAAUUUAAGUGUGAUUAUAAGGUUAUUUAAAUAAUAACUUUGAAAUAUUUUAUUCGCAGUUUUUAAUUUUAUAUAUUUAAUAAUUUAAGAUAUAGUUAAUUUUUAAUAUAACUAGCAAAGGUUGUGCCAGCAGCUGCGGUUACACAAUCUAGUUAAAGUAAUCUUUUUUGGAAUUUUAUUAAUUUUUAGUGUUGACUUUAAUUUUGAAUUUUUAAGGUGAAAUUUAAAAUAUAAAAUCAAAGUUAGGUAAAUUGUAGAUUAUAAGAAGCUUAAUUUUUAGACUAGGAUUAGAUACCCUAUUAUUUUAAGUGUAAAAGUUAAAUUCCUAGUACUAUAAGUUUUGAUCUUUAAAUUGAAAGAAUUUGACGGUAAUUUUAAUCAUUUUAGAGGAACCUGUUCUAUAAUCGAUAAUCCACGAUAAAUUUUACCUAAAAUUCUUGUUUGUAUAUCUCUGUCUGAUGAGUGUUUUAUAAGAAUACUCUCUCCAAUUUUUUAGAAAAAUAUGUCAGGUCAAGGUGCAGCUUUUUUAGGUUUGAAAUGGGUUACAUUUAAUUCUAAUUAUUGAAUUUAAAUAUGUAUUUAUUUUAUGAAAUUGGAUUUAAUUGUAAUAAGUAUUAUAUUUUAUUUAUGAUAUAUGUUCUUGAUUAAGUACACAUCGCCCGUCGCUCUCAUUAUAAGAUGAGAUAAGUCGUAACAAAGUAGUUUUACCGGAAGGUGAAGCUGGAAUUAUA